rnacentral:misc_RNA from 1 species
AUGCUGCUGCUGUCGACGCAUACGUUGAGGCCAGCAUCCCGGCGGCUUCCACCGCGGUCGUCAACUCCGCGACCGUGACACCCUCGACCGAGUUAGACUACGCGGCACAGCGUCAAGAUGUAGUGAAAGAAACACUACCAUCGGACGCUUUCUGCGUCUCCCCGCCCACAAUGGCCCAAGUGCCACUCCCUAGACUAGAGGACGGCGUAGAGGCGGCGGCCCCUUCGGUGGGCACCCCUGUGCCGUCGUUGAGCGCUACUACUACCAUCACCGCUGUUGCGCGGGAAUCAUCUCAUCCCCACUUGCAUCUUCUGCACAUCAUACAGCAGCAGCAGGAGCGCAUCGCCGUAUUGCAAGCGUCGCUAGCACACGCGGCAAGGAGUGCGCAGCGCUCGUCUGAAGCUCUGGAGUCUUUACAGGGCAAGCCGCGUGUUCCUGCGUGCACUGGCCGCAUCCGUGCGGUGGGCGUAGCUUCGUCACCCGCUGGUCGCGCGUCGGCACCGUUGGCGUCGAUUGCAGAAGUGACAUCAGCAGUGGCCAACACCGUGCGGUGGGCGGACAGUGUCGCUGCGACGCCCAUGCCGACAUCACCCGUCUCAUGCGGCUCGUUCACGGAGUGGAAAGACGACUUGCCUCAGGCGGAGUGCUGCUCGCACACUCCCUCGCCGCCCUCCAUUGCGCCAGCAACGUUCUCACCGCUGCCGGUGGUUCUUCUCGACAUCACGUCGAUGUUUACGACGCGAUCGACACGUGCGGCGGCAGCGCACCCUGAAAUGCAACCAUCAUCACUCUCGACUCACCGCCGGAGCUCAGAGACGCAAACGGACUCUGUUGCCACGGAGCCCACGACGCCGACCGACAAAUACAUUGGUGGCAGCAGUGGCGCGACGAGGCAGCUGAUGGACCAACUACGUGGCGAGCUGGCCGGCGCGCAGCGGAGACUCCCUACCGCCGAUACGUCGGUGUUGUGGCGCCGCGCCAGCAUGCUUGCUCUGCAGCAAAGCUGUGCUCCAGGUGCCUCCUCUCGAGAGCCCGCUGAUGCUGUGUCUUCUUGUAAUGGUGGGUCGGGGGCUUCACGCAGGUUUGAUUCCGUCCCAGGCGGGGACGGGGCUAGUUGCGAAGGAGCUGCCACAGAAUGCAUAGUACACGACGAUAAGAGGAAGGACAUGGAGGAGCUACAACGCCUCCGACUGUUGCUGCGCUUCUCAGAGCUGAAAAAGGACAGCGACCGACUCGCUGAGGUGGAGGAUGCCCUUCGAGAGUCCUCUUCGGCUCAGCUGCGGCUGCGGCAGCGCUGCGAUUUUCUGGAGCACGAAAAUUCACAACGAGGGGACUGCCUGCGAGCGAUUGCGUCGUGUGUCGAGACGACGUUGGCUGCGUCAAGCAGCGGCACCGUUGGCAACCGCAGGGAUGGCAGCACUGCCACCGCUGCUGCACCCAUUGAAAUGUCGGAUAAGCUGGUGAGUCUUCUGAGGUACGUUCUGCACCUCUGCACAGACGCGGCGCUGUCUCCGAGUGCGCACAAGGCACCCUUGCCGCUACCGCACCCUUCACCACCGAAGGCCCGGCAAUCGUCUGUGCAUUCACGCCAGGAUCGGCUGCACAAGGCUGUGAGCGACAGCCGUGACGGCGGGCGAUCUCUACCGCUCCGCCCGCCUUCCCGAAUGGCGUCGUGGCACGGCUCUGGCGCGGCAGCGGCAACCGCACUCGGUGAGCGACGCGCGAGUAAACACUGACAGAUUUGCAGCGUCCGACUUUCGGAAGUUGUGGCGGUGAGAAGGCGGGGGAGGGGAAGAGGAGGGCAGAGAGCCACUUGACAUCAUCAUUUUUUCUCUACGUCGAGGCCCGCUGCCUGCGGUGGCACUGCCUUGUCUGCCACUGCUGCUUCCCUGUGUUUUCGUGGUGUCACUGGUAGAAGUGUGGGAAGGAGGGGGGCUCUCUUCACCUUCUGCCCCAACCCUUUCUUCCUCUCCCAACUCAUGUGGUAGCGAAGGCCUUCCUUAUGUAUAUAUACGGCUGUGCUUGUGUGUGUGGGCAAGUGUGUCUUCCAGUAUCAUCUACUGGGGUGUUCUGGUUGGAGCUCGUCACUAUCUCCAACCCAGUUGCCCGUGCUUCUCCUCUGUUCCGACUACGAGCGCAUUGGCGGGAGGGUCAGUUGGUUGAGGGGUGGGAGGGACGGAUACAGAGUUAGCUCUCUACUGCCAUCUCCAUCUCUUCCCGCUUCUGCAGCCGUGCCCUUCCCUCGGUAUCUCUUACCCCUCGCCGUCUUCUCACUGUCCGUGUGCGCCAUGCUAGUCUUCUCGCUUCCUCGUUUCUCGCGUGGCUUGCUUUUACUCAUUGCAUGCACCAUAGACGCACAAGCUCCCUGCUCCCACCUCUUGUUUUGACUCCACGCUGUUUGCCUCCUCCGCACCUCCGAAUGCUCUCGAAGGGAAACCUAAAACGCGUAUAUAGAUAGCAACUAUGCUCUGACUGCCCUCUGCUCGUGCGAGGGAGGGCCUGAGGAGGUGAGCGGUUUCGUUUGCCUUGUGCAUCGCAGGCGCUCUCCACUACCUACAGCGCGUGCAGCGGCGGGUGUGGGAUAGGUAGAGGGCCUGCGCCACGGCCCAUGUCGGUGAACUGGUUGUUCUGCGCGCCAUCGCGACGAUGACGAGGCAGUUUCGUGGAGCGGGAGUGAAUGACGCCUUGCAGAACCCUCUCUCUCCGGUACCGCCACACCCUUCUUUUGCAUGCCAUCGCGCGUGUGGGCCUUCUGCCGCUUCUUUGUCGGCUUGUGUGCCUCUCCUUCUCCCUCUGUGUGUGUGUGUUCUCCCUUUUCACUGUACUUCGCGUCACCUUCCCUGUUUGAGUUUGUGCCUCUCUCUCACUGCGCAUGCGUGCGUGUGUCGGCCUUGUGUUUGCCUUCGUUCGCUUUUUCUCUGACGGACAUACAACACACACACACACACAUACACACACGCAUGCCGAUGCCUGCCUCCACACCCCUCUGCCCUCUCGUCGGCGAGCAGUUUAUCGAAAGCAGC